GCAACAAUUACAGGGCAACAUCUCCAUUGGCAGGCAGCCACUAAUUAGCACAUAUAUAUGCAUGGAUAUUCAAAAAUUCAUGCAUUAUAUUAACAUAUACAGUGUGCCCUCUGCCAAAGGAGAUUUGCCCGGCAAUUCUUUU
rnacentral:pre_miRNA from 1 species